rnacentral:rRNA from 1 species
AGUCGAACGAUGAUCCCAGCUUGCUGGGGGAUUAGUGGCGAACGGGUGAGUAACACGUGAGUAACCUGCCCUUGACUCUGGGAUAAGCCUGGGAAACCGGGUCUAAUACUGGAUAUGACCUUCUGGCGCAUGCCAUGUUGGUGGAAAGCUUUAUUGCGGUUUUGGAUGGACUCGCGGCCUAUCAGCUUGUUGGUGGGGUAAUGGCCUACCAAGGCGACGACGGGUAGCCGGCCUGAGAGGGUGGACGGCCACACUGGGACUGAGACACGGCCCAGACUCCUACGGGAGGCAGCAGUGGGGAAUAUUGCACAAUGGGCGCAAGCCUGAUGCAGCGACGCCGCGUGGGGGAUGAAGGCCUUCGGGUUGUAAACCUCUUUCAGUAGGGAAGAAGCGAAAGUGACGGUACCUGCAGAAGAAGCGCCGGCUAACUACGUGCCAGCAGCCGCGGUAAUACGUAGGGCGCAAGCGUUAUCCGGAAUUAUUGGGCGUAAAGAGCUCGUAGGCGGUUUGUCGCGUCUGCCGUGAAAGUCCGGGGCUUAACUCCGGAUCUGCGGUGGGUACGGGCAGACUAGAGUGAUGUAGGGGAGACUGGAAUUCCUGGUGUAGCGGUGAAAUGCGCAGAUAUCAGGAGGAACACCGAUGGCGAAGGCAGGUCUCUGGGCAUUAACUGACGCUGAGGAGCGAAAGCAUGGGGAGCGAACAGGAUUAGAUACCCUGGUAGUCCAUGCCGUAAACGUUGGGCACUAGGUGUGGGGGACAUUCCACGUUUUCCGCGCCGUAGCUAACGCAUUAAGUGCCCCGCCUGGGGAGUACGGCCGCAAGGCUAAAACUCAAAGGAAUUGACGGGGGCCCGCACAAGCGGCGGAGCAUGCGGAUUAAUUCGAUGCAACGCGAAGAACCUUACCAAGGCUUGACAUGAACUGGAACAGCGCAGAGAUGUGUUGGCCGCUUGCGGCCGGUUUACAGGUGGUGCAUGGUUGUCGUCAGCUCGUGUCGUGAGAUGUUGGGUUAAGUCCCGCAACGAGCGCAAC